rnacentral:rRNA from 1 species
GACGUAGGAUGCAAGCGUUGUCCGGAUUUAUUGGGCGUAAAGAGUUCGUAGGUGGUUUGUUAAGUCUGAUGUUAAAGACUGAGGCUCAACCUCGGGACUGCAUUGGAUACUGGCAGACUUGAGUGCGGUAGAGGCAAGUGGAAUUCCAGGUGUAGCGGUGAAAUGCGUAGAUAUCUGGAAGAACACCGGUGGCGCAAGCGACUUGCUGGGCCGUAACUGACACUGAGGAACGAAAGCUAGGGGAGCGAAUGGG